rnacentral:rRNA from 1 species
GAGGGGCCCGCGCCUGAUUAGCUAGUUGGUGGGGUAAUGGCUCACCAAGGCAACGAUCAGUAUCCGGCCUGAGAGGGCGGACGGACACACUGGGACUGAGACACGGCCCAGACUCCUACGGGAGGCAGCAGUGGGGAAUUGUUCGCAAUGGGCGCAAGCCUGACGACGCAACGCCGCGUGGAGGAUGAAGACCUUCGGGUCGUAAACUCCUUUCGAUCGAGACGAAUGGUCUCUGGAUGAACAAUCCGGGGAAGUGACGGUACCGAGAGAAGAAGCCCCGGCUAACUCCGUGCCAGCAGCCGCGGUAAUACGGGGGGGGCAAGCGUUGUUCGGAAUUACUGGGCGUAAAGGGCUCGUAGGCGGCCAACUAAGUCAGACGUGAAAUCCCUCGGCUUAACCGGGGAACUGCGUCUGAUACUGGAUGGCUUGAGUUCGGGAGAGGGAUGCGGAAUUCCAGGUGUAGCGGUGAAAUGCGUAGAUAUCUGGAGGAACACCGGUGGCGAAGGCGGCAUCCUGGACCGGCACUGACGCUGAGGAGCGAAAGCCAGGGGAGCAAACGGGAUUAGAUACCCCGGUAGUCCUGGCCCUAAACGAUGAAUGCUUGGUGU